UACAGAGGGUGCUAGCGUUAAUCGGAAUUACUGGGCGUAAAGGGUGCGUAGGUGGCAUCGUAAGUUGGAUGUGAAAGGCCAGGGCUCAACCUUGGUUGUGCGUUCAAUACUGCGGAGCUAGAGUGCUGUAGAGGGCAGAGGAAUUUCCGGUGUAGCGGUGAAAUGCGUAGAUAUCGGAAGGAACACCAGUGGCGAAGGCGACUGUCUGGGCAGACACUGACACUGAGGCACGAAAGCAUGGGGAGCAAACAGG
rnacentral:rRNA from 1 species